UUCCAGAGUGAUGAAAAAGCAUCCUUGGGCAUGUGGUUAUGGCCGUCUUGGUCACUUGUAUGCCACUUACCAAUGUAAGGACUUUUCAUAAUUACACUGUUUCAAA
ensembl:snoRNA